ACGCUGGCGGCAGGCUUAACACAUGCAAGUCGAACGGUAACAGGGAUUAGCUUGCUAAUCUGCUGACGAGUGGCGGACGGGUGAGUAAUGCUUGGGAAUCUGGCUUAUGGAGGGGGAUAACGACGGGAAACUGUCGCUAAUACCGCGUAUUAUCGGAAGAUGAAAGUGCGGGACUGAGAGGCCGCAUGCCAUAGGAUGAGCCCAAGUGGGAUUAGGUAGUUGGUGGGGUAAAUGCCUACCAAGCCUGCGAUCUCUAGCUGGUCUGAGAGGAUGACCAGCCACACUGGAACUGAGACACGGUCCAGACUCCUACGGGAGGCAGCAGUGGGGAAUAUUGCGCAAUGGGGGGAACCCUGACGCAGCCAUGCCGCGUGAAUGAAGAAGGCCUUAGGGUUGUAAAGUUCUUUCGGUAUUGAGGAAGGUUGAUGUGUUAAUAGCACAUCAAAUUGACGUUAAAUACAGAAGAAGCACCGGCUAACUCCGUGCCAGCAGCCGCGGUAAUACGGAGGGUGCGAGCGUUAAUCGGAAUAACUGGGCGUAAAGGGCACGCAGGCGGUUAUUUAAGUGAGGUGUGAAAGCCCUGGGCUUAACCUAGGAAUUGCAUUUCAGACUGGGUAACUAGAGUACUUUAGGGAGGGGUAGAAUUCCACGUGUAGCGGUGAAAUGCGUAGAGAUGUGGAGGAAUACCGAAGGCGAAGGCAGCCCCUUGGGAAUGUACUGACGCUCAUGUGCGAAAGCGUGGGGAGCAAACAGGAUUAGAUACCCUGGUAGUCCACGCUGUAAACGCUGUCGAUUUGGGGGUUGGGGUUUAACUCUGGCGCCCGUAGCUAACGUGAUAAAUCGACCGCCUGGGGAGUACGGCCGCAAGGUUAAAACUCAAAUGAAUUGACGGGGGCCCGCAC
rnacentral:rRNA from 1 species